CAACAUGAACUUUGUCAUUUAGCCAUAUGUACGCUAGGGUUAAGUUGUGCCUUAAAUUGAGUAGAGAGAACUCACCAUCGACCUAUAAAAAUGGUAACGCUUCGGCAGAUAUUUAUCGAGGAGGAGAGAUUGCUCUGCACAUAGGGAAUGUUUUUGCCUGAUCUAUGCGCGUCAGGGGAAUUUUUUUACUUCUUGGCUUGGUGGAACAAGAGAAGUUGUAAUAAAUAUAAUGUAAAAAGUAGGGAACAUCAUUGGGUAGAAGGAGGUAUUGAACAUGGUGUAUUUUUUUAAUUACUUAGUUGUGACUAAUCACUUCUGCUACCCAAUCGAUCUUCCCAACUUCUUACAUCAUGUUAAAUCAAGAGAUGCAAUCAGAAGAAAGGAGUUUAUUGAUGUGAAUUCUUUGGUUGUGAAGGAUCUUCAUACAGGCUUUUCAAUUAAAAUCUGAAAAAAAAUUCAGGUGGAGCUUUAUGGUGCCUUUGAUAUCAUAUUCUAUAACUUCUGUUGGCUUUCUUUUAUUCCAGUCCUUGAGUUUAAGGAAAAGUAGCAUUUUAACAUGGCAUUUUAAAUUUUAUAUUGAUGAAUUCUGGCAAAGCAAGAUGUAAGGUGGAAGCUAUUUUUAUUCAACCCCCAACGGUGUAAACGAUAAGGACCUUUAUUUUUUGUAAUGAUGGAAUUUUUAGUGCUUUCAGUUAUUUUGAAGGAAGAUAUAAAUAAGUUGGAUUUGGAAUCAUAUGUUUAUCUGAUAGUUAUGUCUUUACAUAUGCAGACUGUAAUCAUUUAUCGUAAGUUAUGUGUUUUGUCCUCAGAGAACAAUAAUGACUAAAAAAAGGGAAAAAGCUGUUGUCUUCA